GGGGGCGUAAAGGUUUCGACGGGGAUUGUGCAGUGUGAGAAGCGAGUAGAGGCGCACGACCUCUAUAAAACGUGACUUUUUAAAAAUAAACGCUAACGAUAACGUUGCAUUUGCUGCUUAAUUAAGCAGCCGUCUUGCCCCGGAGUACCACGGCUGGGAACAAGGCGUCGAUGAGUGGUGAACGAUCCGUCUGAGCUCCUCGUAAGACAGGAUUGUAUUAGGGGAUACCAAAGCCUUUAGCCUGUUUGCCGGCGAUUGGCUGCGGGAAACUUAAAAGACAAACUGCACUCGGAGAUGCUUGCAUGAAUCGGUUUUCGGACGGGGGUUCAAUUCCCCCCGCCUCCACCA
rnacentral:tmRNA from 2 species